GGAGUUGACCAGUUUGAAGAAUCGGAAUCUUCAAGUCAUGAUUCGACUGACUCAAAUCCUCACCAAACUAGCACAGUUAGAUGUUCAUGUUUUUCCUCCUAAUUGUUUAAAACUUUCACAUUGAAGCACAAAAAGGCUUUUACUCGAAUCGGAAGAACAAGUGAGGUGCAGUAGGUGAAAAUUUUAUCCACGUGACCAAAAUUCAUGAUCCUAAUAAUGAUGUUAUACCUUCCAUAUGAUUAUAACAAUUAUAUCACUUCCUGGAUUCGUUUGUUACGAUUUUUGCUAGAAAUCAUUUUCAUAUUGAAUUAUCCAAAUAUUAGUUGCAUGGGCUUAGUUGAAUCCUUAGUUGUCUAUUGAUGGCAUCUUACUCAAUUGGAAGAACAAGUGAUGUGCAAUAAGUGCAGUUACUUCAGUUCUGUUCCCUUUAACCCUGACGGUAUUUAAUGAAAAUUACAUUAAUUAUUAUCAUAUCAUUAUAGCUUGUAAAUUAUUCUAUAUUAAUUUAUUAUUCUAGAUAAGGAUGUACUUGUAAAUUAAAUCUAGGUUCAUAUUGGUGUGCAAUUUUCUGAUGAUGCCAACCUUAUAUUAGAGCUUGGAGGAAGGGGAAGUACAUGUCCAAAGAAGUGCAAAUGUAGGCUCUCAGGAGGCUCUUACUACAGUAGAAGAACAAGUGAUGAUGUGUGAUAAUUUUGAUAUGCCUUUCAGGUCAUGGACUCUUGCUUGGUUGCAUAUCACACAGAACAAAGGCCUCUGUUCCUAGAGCUUCAGGAUGAACCUUCAUCAAUAUUAGCUAGUCCUAUUUGAUAGCAUGUGAUUUACCUAUGCUGUUGCAAGAAUCAGAGUCGAGAUUGAAGAAGAAACUCGUGCAUGCGAUGUGCCUGUAGUCUAGAACUGACAAAAUGUGUCAACUUGGUGCAGCUUAAUUAAGGCAAGCAUUUCUCGUGGAGAAUACUUUUCCUAGCCAGUCAAGCCCUGCAUCCUGUCUCUUAUAAAAAGAGACAGUUUUUAAGUCCUUUUAGAGAGUGAAAGCCAUGGCCACAAUUUAGAGAGAUCUAGUGAGUUUUUGAUGUAUUUGGGGAGAAAUGGGAUGAAAGAAGACAGAUUAAUUUAGUUUGGUUGCGAGAACCUACUUGUUCUUUUUUGUCAUAUUCUUGUGCACUUUUGAUUUAGUGAAUUGUCAUUGUAAUUGCU